AGUGGCUGUACAUUUUAUACGCUCACUAGCAGUGUUGGGCAGAACUUCCAAUUUCAAAGGCAGUGAAAUUGAAAAUAACUACUUGGCUUUGGGGCUGGCGGAUGGUCCACCUGCAGAUCCUUUCUCCCGGAUACACGUUAGGAUGAAAAGGUCAAGAGCCUGGGUCCCAGGGACAGAUGGGAUAGGGUGAGCAGAUCAGCAAAACUGCCAGCGACCCCAAACCAGCAUGUU